UUUUUGGGUCACACUGCCGAGAAAAGCUUCUAGUUAGAAAACAACGGCCCGUACCGUAAACCGACACAGGUAGUCGAGGAGAGUAUCCUAAGGUGUGUGAGAGAACUCUCGUUAAGGAACUCGGCAAAAUGACCCCGUAACUUCGGGAGAAGGGGUGCUGUUCGCAAGAACAGCCGCAGUGAAUAGGCCCAAGCGACUGUUUAUCAAAAACACAGGUCUCUGCAAAAUCGAAAGAUGAAGUAUAGGGGCUGACGCCUGCCCGGUGCUGGAAGGUUAAGAGGAGUGCUUAGCGCAAGCGAAGGUACGAAUUGAAGCCCCAGUAAACGGCGGCCGUAACGAUAACGGUCCUAAGGUAGCGAAAUUCCUUGUCGGGUAAGUUCCGACCCGCACGAAAGGCGUAACGAUUUGGGCACUGUCUCAACGAGAGACUCGGUGAAAUUUUAGUACCUGUGAAGAUGCAGGUUACCCGCGACAGGACGGAAAGACCCCAUGGAGCUUUACUGUAAUUUGAUAUUGAGUGUCUGUACCGCAUGUACAGGAUAGGUAGGAGCCGUAGAGAUCGGGACGCUAGUUUCGAUGGAGGCAAUGGUGGGAUACUACCCUUGCGUUAUGGCCACUCUAACCCGCAUCACUAAUCGUGAUGGGAGACAGUGUCAGAUGGGCAGUUUGACUGGGGCGGUCGCCUCCUAAAAGGUAACGGAGGCGCCCAAAGGUUCCCUCAGAAUGGUUGGAAAUCAUUCGUAGAGUGCAAAGGCAAAAGGGAGCUUGACUGCGAGAGCUACAACUCGAGCAGGGACGAAAGUCGGGCUUAGUGAUCCGGUGGUUCCGCAUGGAAGGGCCAUCGCUCAACGGAUAAAAGCUACCCUGGGGAUAACAGGCUUAUCUCCCCCAAGAGUCCACAUCGACGGGGAGGUUUGGCACCUCGAUGUCGGCUCGUCGCAUCCUGGGGCUGUAGUCGGUCCCAAGGGUUGGGCUGUUCGCCCAUUAAAGCGGCACGCGAGCUGGGUUCAGAACGUCGUGAGACAGUUCGGUCCCUAUCCGUCGCGGGCGUUGGAAAUUUGAGAGGAGCUGUCCUUAGUACGAGAGGACCGGGAUGGACUUACCGCUGGUGUACCAGUUGUCUCGCCAGAGGCAUCGCUGGGUAGCUAUGUAGGGAAGGGAUAAACGCUGAAAGCAUCUAAGUGUGAAGCCCACCUCAAGAUGAGAUUUCCCAUUUCUUUAAGAAAGUAAGAUCCCUGAGAGAUGAUCAGGUAGAUAGGUCAGGAGUGGAAGUGCAGCGAUGUACGGAGCGGACUGAUACUAAUCGAUCGAGGACUUAACCG
rnacentral:rRNA from 1 species